rnacentral:rRNA from 1 species
GGGUUUGAUCAUAUUUCUGUGAAUAUACUAGAUCCCAUCAUAACUUUGUAGCUAAAUGUGCUUAGGUAGAGUAGUAUUAAGACAAGUGACUUCUUGAAGAGUAUAGUGUUGCACCCU